rnacentral:rRNA from 1 species
UACGUAGGGUCCGAGCGUUGUCCGGAAUUACUGGGCGUAAAGAGCUCGUAGGUGGUUUGUCGCGUUGUUCGUGAAAACUCACAGCUCAACUGUGGGCGUGCGGGCGAUACGGGCAGACUUGAGUACUGCAGGGGAGACUGGAAUUCCUGGUGUAGCGGUGGAAUGCGCAGAUAUCAGGAGGAACACCGGUGGCGAAGGCGGGUCUCUGGGCCUUACCUGACGCUGAGGAGCGAAAGCGUGGGUAGCGAACAGG